rnacentral:other from 1 species
AAAAGCCUGGGAUGUGCGACACCCUACAUUUUUGAACCUACAUUUACUUUCACGGGAUUCCUAUUAUUUGCAAGUGGAUGUCAGGCCACCGGUACCUUGCGGUACAUGAGCAGUGGAAGGCAGAAGCUUGUAUGCGGUUACCCACCUAGCUAUGGCUAGGAGUCAAAAACGUAGGAAACGGCAUUUUGGGUUUUUA